GUGCCAGCCGCCGCGGUAAUACGGAAGGGGCAAGCGUUGUUCGGAAUCAUUGGGCGUAAAGGGCGCGUAGGUGGUUCUGUAUGUCUAUCGUGAAAGCGUACGGCUCAACCGUAUUUUGUCGGUAGAAACUGCAGGACUUGAGGCUGGGAGGGGCUGGUGGAAUUCCCUGUGUAGCGGUGAAAUGCGUAGAGAUGGGGGAGAACACUCGUGGCGAAGGCGGCCAGCUAGACCAGUUCUGACACUGAGGCGCGACAGCGUGGGGAGCAAACAGGAUUAGAUACCCUCGUAGUCC
rnacentral:rRNA from 1 species